rnacentral:rRNA from 1 species
ACAGGAGGAUAACCCGUCGAAAGACGGACUAAUACUGCGUACACUCACUGGGAGGCAUCUCUUGGUGAGGAAAGAAAUUCGGUGUAGGAUAGGCAUGCGUCCCAUUAGCUAGUUGGUGAGGUAACGGCUCACCAAGGCGACGAUGGGUAGGGGAACUGAGAGGUUUAUCCCCCACACUGGUACUGAGACACGGACCAGACUCCUACGGGAGGCAGCAGUGAGGAAUAUUGGUCAAUGGGCGCGAGCCUGAACCAGCCAAGUCGCGUGAAGGAUGACUGUCUUAUGGAUUGUAAACUUCUUUUGUAUGGGAAUAACGGGGCGGACGUGUCCGCUUGUGAAUGUACCAUACGAAUAAGCAUCGGCUAACUCCGUGCCAGCAGCCGCGGUAAUACGGAGGAUGCGAGCGUUAUCCGGAUUUAUUGGGUUUAAAGGGUGCGUAGGCGGCUUGUUAAGUCAGCGGUGAAAUCUUGGGGCUUAACCCCGAAACUGCCGUUGAAACUGGCGAGCUUGAGUGUAGAUGAAGUAGGCGGAAUUCGUGGUGUAGCGGUGAAAUGCAUAGAUAUCACGAGGAACUCCGAUUGCGCAAGCAGCUUACUAAGGUACAACUGACGCUGA